rnacentral:rRNA from 1 species
UACGAAGGGUGCAAACGUUGCUCGGAAUCAUUGGGCGUAAAGCGCACGUAGGCGGCUUUGCAAGUCGGACGUGAAAUCCCUCAGCUCAACUGAGGACGUGCAUCCGAAACUGCAAGGCUUGAGUACUGAAGAGGAUCGCGGAAUUCCCGGUGUAGAGGUGAAAUUCGUAGAUAUCGGGGAGGAACACCAGUGGCGAAGGCAGGUCUCUGGGCAUUAACUGACGCUGAGGAGCGAAAGCAUGGGGAGCGAACAGG